AGUCGAGCGAUGAACACCUUCGGGUGUGAAUUAGCGGCGAACGGGUGAGGAACACGUGAGAAAUCUGCCUUCAACACUGGGAUAACUCCGGGAAACCGGGGCUAAUACCGGAUAUGAAAUCUGCGGGCAUCCGCGGAUUUGGAAAGUUUUUCGGUUGAAGAUGAUCUCGCGGCCUAUCAGCUUGUUGGUGAGGUAAUGGCUCACCAAGGCGACGACGGGUAGCCGGCCUGAGAGGGCGACCGGCCACACUGGGACUGAGACACGGCCCAGACUCCUACGGGAGGCAGCAGUGGGGAAUAUUGGGCAAUGGAGGAAACUCUGACCCAGCGACGCCGCGUGCGGGAUGAAGGCCUUCGGGUUGUAAACCGCUUUCAGCAGGGAAGAAGCGAAAGUGACGGUACCUGCAGAAGAAGCACCGGCUAACUAUGUGCCAGCAGCCGCGGUAAUACAUAGGGUGCAAGCGUUGUCCGGAAUUAUUGGGCGUAAAGAGCUCGUAGGUGGUUCGUCACGUCGGAUGUGAAACUCUGGGGCUUAACCCCAGACCUGCAUUCGAUACGGGCGAGCUUGAGUAUGGUAGGGGAGUCUGGAAUUCCUGGUGUAGCGGUGGCAUGCGCAGAUAUCAGGAGGAACACCAAUGGCGAAGGCAGGACUCUGGGCCAUUACUGACACUGAGGAGCGAAAGCGUGGGGAGCGAACAGGAUUAGAUACCCUGGUAGUCCACGCCGUAAACGGUGGGCACUAGUUGUGGGGACCUUCCACGGUCUCUGCGACGCAGCUAACGCAUUAAGUGCCCCGCCUGGGGAGUACGAUCGCAAGA
rnacentral:rRNA from 1 species